CCUGAGAAAAGGGCCAA
rnacentral:miRNA from 1 species